GGAGUUUGAUGGACACGUCGAUCGUUCUCGACUCUUCUCCCCCACCACGCAUUUGGCCUCACUGCUCCACCUCCACCGCCCACCCUCCACCACACGGAUCUCAUCACUCGUUCGCCAAAAGAAGCUCUCAUCCCGGCCACCGGCGUACUCUUCCAGGCCGUCAUACGGAUCUCACUACUCCUUCGCCAGAAGGAGAAGAUCUCAUCCCGGGCGCCGCCGUACUCAUCAGGCCGCCGCGUAUAAGGCUCCUUUGAGCGGCGCAAUCUGCAAGUAGCCAUGUCCGACUCGCCCAGCUUCCCCCAUGUCGCCGCCUCCUCUCUGACGCCGGCGCCGCCUUCUUCCCCCAUGUUGUGCUGGUUCCACAUCUGAAGCUUGGUUUUUUGCGGGGCGGCCCAACGAGGCGUCCAUCCCAGAGGGCCCCUGGCCAUAGCAGCCGACUCCGCUCCUCCCUCCUCGCAUGCACCUAACACCUCGUUGAGUGAGGAGUUCUUGGUGUUCACCUUCUACAAGCUGGUGCCCGUCGACGACGCCCGCGCACACCUCCACUUCGUGCAGGUUAGGAAGAUUACUUGGAUGCUUUUCAGGCUUCUCCAGCAUUAACCGAGCAUGCUCUCAGUACAAACAAUGACUUAUUCAGUAGGGAAAUUACUGGAGUAGCUGGCAUCAGUUGAUCAAUUUCAUCAGAGGUCAUGUUCAGCUGCAGAAACUGUGUUUGGCACACAUCGGAGGUCAUGUACUGCAUAUGAUCAAAUUAGAGAACAAGCAAGGAGUAUCAUCCAGUUUCAGUAAUUGAAAGUGAAAUGGGAUGAUCUGCAACACCACAAUUUGGAUGAAUUUGUUCAAAGAUGACACCAAUUUCAGCAGGCAUUGUACCUUUCAACCACCACCACCAAGCAGCAGAGGCGGGGGCGCUUGAGUAAAUCAAAGUCGAUGAUCGGGGGCUCUACACCACCCCAGCAGCACCAGCUGCAACAGAGGCGAGGAAGACAACAGCAGUAGCAGAGGCCAGAGUGGCAGAAAAUUUCGCGUCGCUGGUGGCCGAAGCGGAUGAAGUGGCUGGUCCUGCGAGUGGCGGCGGUGGUCGCCUCUGUGGCAGCGGCGCAGGUGGAUGGUGGCGCUGCGCCGGACGGUUGAUGCGCUGGUCGCUUCCGUGGGCGGCGGUGGUGGGGCAGUGCAGGUGGGUUGCGGUGGUCGAGCUGCGCAGGUGGGCCUCCGUGGCGGCUGCGCAGGUGGUCGGUGGCGUUCGACCCGACGGUGGCUCCCGCCGGCGGGGGAGGAGGAAGGAAGGAGACGGGUUUAUUUUUCAAGGGGGUUAAACGUAUGAGAUUUUUUUUCUUUUUUGCAAAAAACACAAUGAACACUUUUCUGGACGGAGAGAGUAGUUUUUAUGUCUUGAUGAUCCGUACUUGAUCAUGUUUAUAUUUGUUUAUUUAUUUGAACCAGAAACUGAAUCUAAUUUUUUAAAGGAAACUGAAUCAGUAUCUAUGUAUCAUCCUUCAUUUAUUUUCACUGACAUGACAGGACGGUUGACGCGAGGGCCGUCCAAACCAACUACCUGUACCACAUGUCCAGGUACGGGUCCGUCUCCACCUGUAACUGCGCCUUAGCGCUGCCGUCUGAGUUGCUUUCCACCGUUCGUACAGACAAACGGCAGCAACAGUGUAUUCCACAUUUUAUAUUCACGUACUGGAGAGGCAAUGAUGGGUAGCCCAGAUCACGAUGCAACUCUGUGCGGUUGGGAUAUCAGGACCAACUGGACUCGGGAGCCAAAACCCCAUUUUUUGCUGCUAUUAUUAUGUGCCAACACUACUCUUUACUAACUCAUAUUAUUUUUUCCUUUUUUUAGAAGCAAAAAAAUAAUCCAAAUGAUGUUGCUGCAAGUUGCUGUUCCAAUCCUCGGCCACUUAUAAGCGUGAUAGUAUCAGGCACACGUUUAAAUGCAAAGAAGGAGGGUACUGACAUUUUGGUUGAUGGGAGUUCAGAGGGACCUAGUCCAAAUGCAACAAUCUCUUCCGGUGGGGAGGAGUGACGUGCUGUAAAAACGAAGAUUGAAUUUUCUCUUGGAGAAAGCCCAUUUAACCUUGACGAGUUGGUUGACUUUAUGCAUGAACUUGGCGAUACAGGGACUGAUGAUAAUAUUAUAGGUUCCGAUCUAUCAUUUGAGGAUUUUGAUAUAUCAGAACCCUCUCUUAAUCUUCCAACUCCCCCUACGUAUUUAUACUCAGGCGUGGCCUCGCAGGCUUAUAUUUCAAACACUUGUCCUAUCUCUACGCACGGUAGUUUUAUUCGUACCUUGUAUCUUUUUUAUUUAUUAAUUUCAUUGCAGUAUCAUUUAUCUUGCCGCUCCUUCUUAUCGCCAGGUGGUGCGGAAGGAGCUUCUAAUCUCGUCAGUGGCGAGGGAAUAAUGACACAGAUUUCAGCGUCACCCAUGGAUAUUUCCGCUAUUACCAAGCCCAUUCUAGACGCUAUCGACUUGUUGUUAAAGAAUGCUUUCGAAGCUUUAGAUGCCCCUACAUUAACAGAUUCUCAGUGCCAUGAGAUUUUUCAGGUAGUUCGGUCGAUGCUCCCUGCUGGUGACGUUGUUCCCCAAAUUCCCCUACCGUGCGGCUUGGGAAAUAUUUGUUUCGAUAUCAGAUUAGUGCAAGAAACCCGCAGAACCAUUGAGGAUCAGUCAAAGCAAAAGUGUGAAUUUGUUACUGCAGCAGAGAGAAGGGCUGAAUCCAUUUAAGCGUCUUUGAAAACUUCAGCAAAAGAGAUGUCAUCCAUACUGGAGAAACAAGUUGAGAAGAAGGAACGUGUGGAGGCCCUCUCUGCUCAACUACAAGAAGCUACUGCUGUGUUGCUUACAACCGAAGAAAGGGUCAAGCAGCUAGAGUCAGACCCUUCCGCCAAGCAAGCUGAAGCCAAGAAGUUGCUUGAAGAUUUGCUCGAAGCUAAUGUGAAAGCUUCCGAGGAGUUGGAUUCUCUUAAAGGGAAGACAUCGAUGCUGGAGGGCAAAGCCAAGUCUAUUACUAUAAGUCUGAAGGACUGGUGCUCGAUGUCCAACUGAGUGUUUGUUUCAAUAAAUUAGACAUGUUGUCUAUAUAUUUCUUCCAUUCAGACUUGUAUAAGACAGCCGAUUGGCUCUCCAUUUUCUCAUGUUUGCUCAUAUCAGUAGCACCAUUUGCAUUUGAUUUA